rnacentral:rRNA from 1 species
CUCCGAGAACUGAAAGGCUUUUUGAAGUCUUCGGAUGGAUAGAAGAACCCCUGAUGCUGUCGAGCCAAGAAAAGUUUCUAAGUUUAGCUAAUGUUGCCCGUACCGUAAACCGACACAGGUGGGUGGGAUGAGUAUUCUAAGGCGCGUGGAAGAACUCUCUUUAAGGAACUCUGCAAAAUAGCACCGUAUCUUCGGUAUAAGGUGUGGUUAGCUUUGUAUUAGGAUUUACUCCGAAAGCAAGGAAACUUACAACAAAGAGUCCCUCCCGACUGUUUACCAAAAACACAGCACUCUGCUAACUCGUAAGAGGAUGUAUAGGGUGUGACGCCUGCCCGGUGCUCGAAGGUUAAUUGAUGGGGUUAGCAUUAGCGAAGCUCUUGAUCGAAGCCCGAGUAAACGGCGGCCGUAACUAUAACGGUCCUAAGGUAGCGAAAUUCCUUGUCGGUUAAAUACCGACCUGCAUGAAUGGCGUAACGAGAUGGGAGCUGUCUCAAAGAGGGAUCCAGUGAAAUUGUAGUGGAGGUGAAAAUUCCUCCUACCCGCGGCAAGACGGAAAGACCCCGUGGACCUUUACUACAGCUUGACACUGCUACUUGGAUAAGAAUGUGCAGGAUAGGUGGGAGGCUUUGAGUAUAUGACGCCAGUUGUAUAUGAGCCAUUGUUGAGAUACCACUCUUUCUUAUUUGGGUAGCUAACCAGCUUGAGUUAUCCUCAAGUGGGACAAUGUCUGGUGGGUAGUUUGACUGGGGCGGUCGCCUCCCAAAUAAUAACGGAGGCUUACAAAGGUUGGCUCAGAACGGUUGGAAAUCGUUCGUAGAGUAUAAAGGUAUAAGCCAGCUUAACUGCAAGACAUACAAGUCAAGCAGAGACGAAAGUCGGUCUUAGUGAUCCGGUGGUUCUGUGUGGAAGGGCCAUCGCUCAAAGGAUAAAAGGUACCCCGGGGAUAACAGGCUGAUCUCCCCCAAGAGCUCACAUCGACGGGGAGGUUUGGCACCUCGAUGUCGGCUCAUCGCAUCCUGGGGCUGGAGCAGGUCCCAAGGGUAUGGCUGUUCGCCAUUUAAAGCGGUACGCGAGCUGGGUUCAGAACGUCGUGAGACAGUUCGGUCCCUAUCUGCCGUGGGCGUAAGAAGAUUGAAGAGAUUUGACCCUAGUACGAGAGGACCGGGUUGAACAAACCACUGGUGUAGCUGUUGUUCUGCCAAGAGCAUCGCAGCGUAGCUAAGUUUGGAAAGGAUAAACGCUGAAAGCAUCUAAGCGUGAAGCCAACUCUAAGAUGAAUCUUCUCUAAGCUCUCUAGAAGACUACUAGUUUGAUAGGCUGGGUGUGUAAUGGAUGAAAGUCCUUUAGCUGACCAGUACUAAUAGAGCGUUUGGCUUAUCUUUAAUAAAGCAU